GCCAGCAGCCAUAUCACCCUGCAACUCACAAAUGGCUGAACUGAAGCUCAGCAGCUGUGAGCCUGGUCAGUACCUGGAUGGGAGACCUCCUGGGAAAGCUAAGGUUGCUGCUGGAA
rnacentral:rRNA from 1 species